rnacentral:rRNA from 1 species
UACGAAGGGGGCUAGCGUUGUUCGGAUUUAUUGGGCGUAAAGAGCUCGUAGGUGGUUUGUCGCGUUGUUCGUGAAAACUCACAGCUCAACUGUGGGCGUGCGGGCGAUACGGGCAGACUAGAGUACUGCAGGGGAGACUGGAAUUCCUGGUGUAGCGGUGGAAUGCGCAGAUAUCAGGAGGAACACCGGUGGCGAAGGCGGGGUCUCUGGGCAGUAACUGACGCUGGAGGAGCGAAAAGCCGUGGGGAGCGAACAGG